AUGCAGGGUUGUAGACCUGUAGGAGAUGCCUCACCGGAUUUGCACGGCUGGUCCCACGGGAAUGACGACGCGUCAGGCAGGAUGGCCCGGGUGGGGAGGACACGGAUGGUUGGGGACACGGAAUCCCUCGUGACAUUGCUGCGACCGGCAUUCAGGGAACACGGUGAGAGGUGUCUCUUUUCCUAUUUGGAUUUCCUAACACAGCCGUGGCCCCUUGGCGGCGGUUGCACUCUGGCCUCGGGUGCCGGGGAGCCCCUCUCGGUGAAGCCCCGCAGGUCAGGAGCAGCCCAGGCCCUCGGCCUCACCACCUGCUGGUGGGAUGGGGGGGGGGGGGGGAGGCCUUGUCGCCGACCUCCCACCCUGCCUGACUCACAGGUCACACUCUCCCACAGGGGCAGGUGCGCCUCGGGCCCCCCGGCGGGUCUGGGCGCCCGGGCCCCGCACACCUCUGGGGGCUCCCGUCCGGGGAACAGCGACCGUCGUGGGAUCCUGUCUGGGAAGAAGUUGGGAGGAAGGUCCCCACGGAUUCGUGUCUGGUUCUCGUCCUGGAGGCUUCGGGGCACUUCCCAGCCCGGGUUCUCUUAUCCUGGGUUUGGGCCUAAAAGGACACAGGGGACAAGGGACAAUGAGAGAGACCUCGGAGAGGGACAAGCGUUUGGUCUUCUUCUCCCUAGAUCUUUGCAGUGCUUGUCUCCUUCUUACCUUCUGACUUGUACACAGUUGCUCUUUGGGCCCUCCCAGCACCCUCCCCCUCCCAGCACCCUCUCCCUCCAGCACCCUCCCUCUCCAGCACCCUCUCCUCCCAGCACCCUCCCCCACCCAGCACCCUCCCCUUCCAGCACCCUCCCCCUCCAGCACCCUCUCCCUUCAGCACCCUCUCCCUCCCCGCAUCCUCCCCCUUCAGCACCCUCCCACUCCCAGCACCCUCCCCCUCCAGCACCCUCUCCCUCCAGCACCCUCUCCCUCCCCGCAUCCUCUCCCUCCCAGAACCCUCCCCUCCAGCACCCUCUCCCUCCCAGCACCCUCUCCCUCCAGCACCCUCCACCUCCAGCACCCUCCCCUUCCCAGCACCCUCUCCCUCCCAGCACCCUCUCCCUCCAGCACCCUCCCCUCCCAGCACCCUCUCCCUCCCAGCACCCUCUCCCUCCAGCACCUUCUCCCACCAGCACCCUCCCCCUCCAGCACCCUCUCCUUCCCAGCACCCUCCUCCUCCCAGCACCCUCUACCUCCUUUCAUGGUGGGAACACAAAGAGUCCGGUGUGUACAAGCCACCCACCAGGAAGCACAGUGUGGCCCAGGCCCGGCCCCACUCGGGGCCCUGCUCGGUGGGGUCUCCCAGGGGUCUGA
rnacentral:lncRNA from 1 species